rnacentral:rRNA from 1 species
UCGAGAAUCUUCCACAAUGGACGAAAGUCUGAUGGAGCGACGCCGCGUGAUUGAUGAAGUCCCUCUGGGACGUAAAGAUCUUUUUAUGAGGGAAGAAGUUUAUUGACUGUACCUCAUGAAUAAGAGGCUCCUAAUCUCGUGCCAGCAGGAGCGGUAAUACGAGAGCCUCGAGCGUUAUCCGGAAUUAUUGGGCGUAAAGGGUGCGUAGGUUGCUAUGUUAGUCUUCUGUCAAAGCCCCGGGCUUAACCUGGGACACGCGGAAGAAACGGCAUAACUUGAAAGUGCGAGAGGUGUACGGAACUCAUGGUGUAGGGGUGAAAUCCGUUGAUAUCAUGGGGAACACCAAAUGCGAAAGCAGUACACUGGCGCAUAUUUGACACUGAAGCACGAAAGCGUGGGUAGCGAAUGGGAUUAGAUACCCUUGUAGUCCCUGAGCGGGCUGGCAAGGCGCAU